rnacentral:rRNA from 1 species
UGGGGAAUAUUGCACAAUGGGCGAAAGCCUGAUGCAGCAACGCCGCGUGAGUGAUGAAGGUCUUCGGAUUGUAAAGCUCUGUCUUUUGGGACGAUAAUGACGGUACCAAAGGAGGAAGCCACGGCUAACUACGUGCCAGCAGCCGCGGUAAUACGUAGGUGGCGAGCGUUGUCCGGAUUUACUGGGCGUAAAGGGUGCGUAGGCGGAUGUUUAAGUGAGAUGUGAAAUACCCGGGCUUAACUUGGGUGCUGCAUUUCAAGCUGGAUAUCUAGAGUGCAGGAGAGGAGAAUGGAAUUCCUAGUGUAGCGGUGAAAUGCGUAGAGAUUAGGAAGAACACCAGUGGCGAAGGCGAUUCUCUGGACUGUAACUGACGCUGAGGCACGAAAGCGUGGGUAGCAAACAGGAUUAGAUACCCUGGUAGUCCACGCCGUAAACGAUGAGUACUAGGUGUAGGAGGUAUCGACCCCUUCUGUGCCGCAGUAAACACAUU